rnacentral:rRNA from 1 species
CCAAUGACUCUCAGCAACGGAUAUCUUGGCUCUUGCAACGAUGAAGAACGCAGCGAAAUGCGAUACCUAGUGUGAAUUGCAGAAUUCCGCGAAUCAUCGAGUUUUUGAACGCCAGUU